UGUUGGCACGUCCGCGGAUGCUCGAGUGUUAGAACCGUGAAGGCCCUGAAGAAUGGCGCUGUAUGUUUUGUGGAGGAACCCAUAAGGGAGGUAAACGUGGACAUCCAAAUACCAGACAGAUUGGACGGAGCGCCCCACAUCCUCCGUGCUUAGGACUACAUGAGCUUCCAAGACUGGGCAAGCCAAUGAAAACUCUACAUCGUCUGUCGUGCUUUGUUGCACUUUCUGUUGCUACUGUUGUUUAUUAUGCCUGCUCAUUCGACACGGUUGACGACGUUCCAGAAACCAAGAGACCGGUGUUACGAAAUUAUGCAAGUCGUGCACCUGAAGCAAGCGAGAAAAAGGAACCUUUCUGUCCACGUAUUUUGUUCUGGACUAAGUUUUGGGGAUCGCAAUUAUUAGGACUAAACGGUAAAGAAGAUAUUGUGGUUCCUAACUGUACUCGUCGAUGCCACGCGACAUACAAUAGAGCGCUUUUGAAUGUCAGUGACGUGGUUGUGUUUCACUGCAGAGACAUUAACGCUCGCAAAAUGCCAUCGGAACGAUAUCCUCACCAGAAGUGGAUAUUUUGGUGCAUGGAAGCGCCUCCCCUUGCGUACGUUCCUAAACAUGACGCCGUUGAUUCCCAAUUCAACUGGACCAUGACGUACCGGUAUGAUUCCGAUAUCAUCAUUAGAUACGGUAGAUUUACCCGAAAGCAGCAACCUAUUACGCUGGAGUUGGAAGAAGCCUGGCGCACGAAGAAUAAGACAGCCGUGUGGGCUGUCAGUCAUUGUCGCCCGCACAGCAAACGAGAGAACUUUGUCAUGGAACUUGAUAAAUAUAUCGAUAUAGACGUU